rnacentral:rRNA from 1 species
UACAGAGGUCCCAAGCGUUGUUCGGAUUCAUUGGGCGUAAAGGGUGCGUAGGCGGCGCGGUAAGUCGGGUGUGAAAUCUCGGGGCUUAACUCCGAAACUGCAUUCGAUACUGCCGUGCUUGAGGACUGGAGAGGAGACUGGAAUUUACGGUGUAGCGGUGAAAUGCGUAGAUAUCUGGAGGAAUACCGGUGGCGAAGGCGGCAUCCUGGACCGGCAUUGACGCUGAGGAGCGAAAGCCAGGGGAGCAAACGGG